CCUACGGGUGGCAGCAGUGGGGAAUUUUGGACAAUGGGCGCAAGCCUGAUCCAGCCAUGCCGCGUGAGUGAAGAAGGCCUUCGGGUUGUAAAGCUCUUUCGGCCGGAACGAAAUCGUCCGGGCUAAUACCUCGGAUGGAUGACGGUACUGGAAGAAGAAGCACCGGCUAACUACGUGCCAGCAGCCGCGGUAAUACGUAGGGUGCAUGCGGUAAUCGGAAUUAGCGGAGGUGAAUCGUGCGGUCAGGGCUGAAAUCCCCGGGCUUAACCUGGGAACUGCGGUUGAAACUGGGAGGCUGGAGUGCGGCAGAGGGGGGUGGAAUUCCACGUGUAGCAGUGAAAUGCGUAGAUAUGUGGAGGAACACCGAUGGCGAAGGCAGCCCCCUGGGCCUGCACUGACGCUCAUGCACGAAAGCGUGGGGAGCAAACAGGAUUAGAUACCCGUGUAGUC
rnacentral:rRNA from 1 species